GAGGAGCCGUUAGGGAGGAGCAGAUGAACCAGAAGGCCGCAGGAGGAGGUCACUCAGAAAUAAACUUCUAUUGAAAUGACAAAUAUUCACCAAUUAACUAAAUGAACACGGACAGCUGGUCCAAAGCUGGAGCACAAAGGGCCGACAGAUGGCUCUGUGAGACGGGACAAACCCAAAACCGGGUUCAGGACGGGACGCAUUACCAAGGGGAAACACUGGACCCGGUUCUGGGUUUGAGGUUCAGAGGAACAGAACUGGAUAAAACCAGGAACGACGGUUCAUGAAGGUCCAGGAGGGACUGAUGGGUUUCCUGGACAUCACACACGUGAACUUUUACUGACUGUCAAUUCAUUUUAUUAAAUCAAGUGAAUUCCUUUUGUUGAAAGCAGAAGGAAAUAACGUCACAUGACGGGGAAAAGCCGGUCCCGCUCCGAUCAGCUGCUGUAAGAAUGUAAGAACAGGAAGGUCUGUCGUCUUCUAGGACAUAGUUUCUGCAGAGCAGCAGGAGGUCUUUAGAAAUUCACCUCUGAAUUUAGGGCAGGACUGUUGGCGCAGAGCAACCCCGCCCCCCUUACCCUCCGUGUUGCUGAGAGCUCUCUCUUUGAGCGGAGCAGGAAGCUUAUGGCCCCGCCCAACGUAGUUUUUUGCACCACAAAUCCUAAAGCAACAAGUUGCUGGAAGUUCAGUCACUACUGUCAGGUUUAGAUGUAUAACAAAUCUAAAAGGGGCGGGGCCUGUCCACACACUCAAAUGUUACACACGUACCUUUUGACUAUGCAAAUUUAAAGAAUUUAUGCAAUUUAAGUUUAAUUUUCUUUCUGCGUGUCCAUCAUCAGAAGAAGGCCACAUGAAGACGUUAAAAACAGCGUUUUUGAUCAGACUUUGAUGCUUCGGGGUCGUCUCGGUGGGGUCCGUUUAAACGAGGGAACAUGAAGGUUGGAUGAAUGGAGGAGUUCAGAGGAGUAAACGCAGCCGACUCAGGAAGGAUUAUCCUCCAUGACGGCUGGAUUAAAGCCAGCGUGGGGUUUAAUGAGUGGUAAUGGUUGUAAACAGGUUCAGGUGAAGAUCUGCUGGGUUUCAGGAGAUAACAGCGUCAGCGUGGAGGAGCGGGAGGUGAAAGUGAGCUUCCCGUCAUGUAGUAAUCAAUCAGGCGAACGCCACGGCGCUGCUGCUCUUUCUGAGGUGAGCGUGAAAGGAAGGAGAUCAGGAAGGGCAGAAGCAACGUGAGACUGCAGGGAGCAUUUCUGCCAAAACGGUGACAUAACCACCGCUCCUCUACAUCGGCCGUCUUUCUCCACAAGAAGACAAAAUGUUCAAGUCCUGACAAACUCCAACCGCCUCUUUUGGCUCUUGUCAGUAAGCCGUUCUGUGCUGUUUACAAAGCUCUGUGGCAGUGGAAAGAACAAAACGCCGCCGUUUCCCCGGUGACUCCGGAUCCGGAUCCAUGUCUCAGCACAGCUCCUGCAGCAGAUCCUCCCUCAGCCUCAGCCAAUGCCUCGCUCUGUUGUUGGAGCCCGCCAUUCAAAGCCGCCUCUCCCAUUUCCAAGGAAGAGAUUAACCCUUUGGCUCCUCCAGAACCAGCAGCUUCUCCUCCUCCACCACCUCCUCGCUCAUGCAAGUCAGCAGCUUUUCACAGGUUUGUGCAGAAACGGGUUGAACAAGAGGCCGUCCUCCUGAGAGGAAGAAGACCGAUCCUGAGGAAACGCCAAAGACCACCGCGGCCUCUGAAGCCGCUCAACAAAACCCUUAAAGGCUGAACAUUUACAGGAAAGUAGUCCCAGUGUCCCUCCUUUUUGUGUUUGGGUCAGUGGCGUUUGGAAACGCCCACAAAGAAACGCCGGACUCAGUCGGAUCAUCAGAGCGACUUUGGAUCAGAACUUCAGACACGAGCAAAAGUUUGAGAAGAACAGUUCCGUUUUGUAAUUUAGUGAAGCAAAAAUGAAUUUUCAUCCAUUUCCUUCUUCACUUCUUGAAUCCGGAUCUUGUUACUAAAGCAGUGUUUGCUUUUGGUUCACUGAAGAUGAAAUGUGGCAGUCAGAGCUUCAAACAUGAGUAAAUACAGGUUGAAGAACAUUUUUGGAGCUGACGCUUGGAGUUCCUGCAGAAAUCCACCAGUUUUUCCAUCUCUGAGGUUUUAUAUAUUUAACGAAUCCAAUAAAAAAAAGUCGUCGCUUCAAAGACCGACUCCAAUCAAAACGGUGUUUUGGGUGUUUUUAACGUAUUCUUGUAGAUUUUUUCCUGAAGAAAAUGAAGAUUAAAAUGUCUGAGUAUUUCAUUUUUUCAAAUUUUUGGGAAAUAGAUCAGAAAAUGAUCAGAAUGGGAUUUUAAAUGCAAUAAAGCUUUAUUUUGACCCCAAAAUCAUUACAGUUGAACGGAUUUAGUCAUGUUUACUGGUUUGGGAACAUUACUGCCUCUGGACUCUGAACAGAAUCCUCUUCAAGAAUCCCAAAGGACUUUAUGUCAACGAUGAACGCCGUCAGAAACUGGAGCCAAACCAAACGUUUGAAGGAAACUCCUUCAUUGAAACAUGCAAAUGUACAGAAAUACAAAAAAUGUCCCUUAAGAGAGAGGGAUCAAUGUUCUCUUAAUAAACUCCACAUUCACACAAGAAAUAAAAGAAACUGAUUGACUUUUCCAAACAAAAAUAGAUUUCUGUUCAAUUUUGAAGCUAACAUUUAUCAUUUUUGUCUUCCAGACUACAGCAAUGCAAAUGUAUAGAGGUCAUUUCUAAACCUGAACAUCUCCCAGCCCCUGCAUCCUCCUGAAUGAACUCGCUCUGGUCUCUACAGAGGACAUUUGGGGCUUUUCAACCCAACCAAAUGUCGGUCAAGGUUCUCAUUCGUCCUGGUGACGUCUUCAAGUUGAGUCACGGCAUCUGGACUUAAGAUCUUUGAAACUUUUCAACGAAGAAGAUCCAGAGUCCAGCAGCCACACAUCUGUUAAGAUGGAAGGUGAUGAGGCUGGAACCUGUAGACCGAGGAUGGGCAAACUACAGCCCGGGGGCCACAUGCAGCCCGAAAAAGCUUUGGCCCGCCAAACUGGAAUGAAUUAUACGGAAAAUCCCAACGUUUGAUUUCAUUCUGGUGUCUCCCCAUAGAUGGUGCACAUCCACUGACCUUUGUUUAGGAGCAGAGAGUCAUUCUGCAUUCAGAUUGCUGUUUUCCUGACGGUCGUGUGUGUUUUCUGAGUUGGACAGUCAUGUUUCCCGUCAUUCCAAAAGCUCCAACGUAGCAUUUCUCCAAUUCACGUUUUACCCAAAGGAACAUUAACCCAUUGGUGCAAUUGGAGAACAAAAGAAAAAAAAACUCCCAAAUCUUCAGUUUUAAUACACAUAUACAUGAAUAUAUAUUAAUGGUCAAUCCAAAAGAAAGCAGGUUUUCAUCCAGAUGUUCUGUUUUUUCUUUCUCUUUUAAAGGUGGACCACCAAAACACUCCAUGCAUCUGCUGCUGGUCUGGCCCUUCUGUCAACGUUUAGAAUUCGUUGAUUGCCCAUCUCUGCUGUGGACCAUCACACCACCACAUCCCUGGAUGUGUGCAGGAUCCUUGAAGCGUGACGACAGGACGUCCAGUGGGUGCGAACAGGGCCGGUGAACCUCCACGGCCGGAGGACCCACCGGCCCCGGUCUCCCCGCUCAGGUCCAGACCGAGCCUGGCUCUUGAUUUCAUUGCUGAGGGGUUCACAUGGACAAGGGGGCAGGGCUGCACAAAGACCCCUUCAGACUCUGAGGCCCAAAGCGGACAGGAGCGACCACAUCCGUCACGACAGCACCGGCCCGUAAAAGUAAGGAACAAGACCUGCACAGAGGGGUUCACAUACUUUACAGCCAGUCUCUUCUGCUGUGCAGCACAUUUACUGCACCCCAAGCUCGGAUUUGGUGGCGUUUUUGUCGACGUUUGAGUCCGAAAACAACGGCAGAUUCAGGACUUUUUGCGUUCAGAUCCCACUGGACGGCGGACGAUGCCAAACAAGGACAUUCUGCGUGGUCAUUAAAAUUCCACCGCCAUGACAAGGGGAGCGCUUCGGUUCUUCUGAAGACGGCUUUCUGCUGAAGGUCCAGAAAAACCUCUAAGCACAAGAAAAGGUUUUCUGACAAUUUAAACUAAGAUUUGACUAAAAAAAACAAGACUGGAGGCAGAAAAAAAAACAGCAGUGAAAGCAGUGAAGUCUGAGGAUCUGUGCCCCUAGAGGUCAACAGGUCGCUUGGGAGCAGAAGACCAGAACAAACAGACCGGAGCUCCUUUUGCAUUUUGUCAUGCAUGUAUGGACAACGUUUGAGAAGUGAAACUUGCAUGAAUCCACGUCACAUAAAGACACCCAGUUGACCACGUCAUCCGUUUCCGUGAACUACACAUGAACUUGUCCAAAAGCGAUUAGCUGGUUAAACAUUUAACUUGAAGCAGGGCUGCUGCUGCAGGAGCUGCUGCUGGAGCUGCUGCUGGAGCUGCUGCUGGAGCUGCAUCUUCAAGCUUCUUUUCAACAGGAAAAUUAUGUUUUUGUUCAUUGCAAAUGACUUUACAGCAGUAAAUACAUUUAACUGCAGAUUAAAGGUGGGCGGGGCCUCA